GCUCAGAGGGUUGAGAAGCUACUGUGAGACCCGGUGGCAGAGGCUCUAAUGGGAGGAAGACGAAGGCAACUCUUGAGUCUCUCACCUCCCACUACCCACCAAGAUGCCCGCAUGACCAACUCCACUGCCAUGAUAAAUGCCAGAGGGGAAAUUGUGCAGCCUGCCAUAAUUCCAAUUCCCAGGUGCUGCCAGGCUGUGGUGGUGUUCUCAGCUGUCACACAAAACUGUAAAUCCUGAAAGUAGGUCUUGACCAGUCCUGUGAUAUGGUUUGGUAUGCUGAAAUAUUUGAAAGCCGUCCACAAGAUCUCGUGCAGAACUGACC
ensembl:lncRNA